AAUAAACGUUGGCGGCGUGCCUAACACAUGCAAGUCGAGCGGGAAAGCUCCUUCGGGAGCAAGUACAGCGGCGGACGGGUGAGGAACACGUAAGAAUCUGACCUUUAGUGAAGAAUACCUCCGAGAAAUCGGAGUUAAUACUGCAUACGUUCCUUCGGGAAGAAAGAUGGCUUUAUGCUGUCGCUAAAGGAUGAGCUUGCGCGCUAUUAGCUAGUUGGUAGGGUAAAGGCCUACCAAGGCUUUGAUGGCUAACCGGCCUGAGAGGGUGUACGGUCACAUUGGAGCUGAGAUACGGUCCAGACUCCUACGGGAGGCAGCAGUGGGGAAUAUUGGACAAUGGGCGCAAGCCUGAUCCAGCCAUGCCGCGUGGGUGAAGAAGGCCUUCGGGUUGUAAAGCCCUUUUGUCCGGAAAGAAAAGCACUGGAUUAAUACUUCGGUGUUCUGACGGUACCGGAAGAAUAAGCACCGGCUAACUUCGUGCCAGCCGCCGCAGUAA
rnacentral:rRNA from 1 species